rnacentral:tRNA from 1 species
CCCGCAGCAGCUGAGAUGGUUGCAAGCGCUCGGUUGAAGCCCGAGAGAAGGCGGUUCGAUUCCGUCCUGCGGGA